AGUAAAAGUCGUAACAAGGUUUCCGUAGGUGAACCUGCGGAAGGAUCAUUACCGAGUAAGGGUCUCCUCCGGGAGGCCCGACCUCCCAACCCCGUGUCUAAUAAACCUGUUUGUGUUGCUUCGGCGGAACGGCAGUGGUCAGACCCCUCCCCUCACCGGGAGGCAGACGACCGUCCGUCGCCGGGGGGCCCACGGUCUCACGACCGCCCCUGGAGAGCGUCCGCCGAUGGCCCCAACCAAAACAACUACCAAACCCAAAUUGUGAAAAUAAAUAUAUUCUGAAUCAGAUUUUGAUAUACCAAUCAAAAACAAAACUUUCAACAACGGAUCUCUUGGUUCUGGCAUCGAUGAAGAACGCAGCGAAAUGCGAUAAGUAAUGCGAAUUGCAGAAUUUCCGUGAGUCAUCGAAUCUUUGAACGCACAUUGCGCCCUUUGGCAUUCCGAAGGGCAUGCCUGUCCGAGCGUCAUUAUCCUCCCUCAAACCCCCGGGUUUGGUGUUGGACCGCGUUGGUUGUUCGCAGCCAACUGGUCUCAAAGACAAUGACGGCGUCCCCGGGACCCUCUUCGCACUGAGCUUUUGCAAGCACGCGAGGAGUCUCAAGGGCCCAGGGACCCGGUCACCUCAUUAAAUUUUUUCAGGUUGACCUCGGAUCAGGUAGGAAUACCCGCUGAACUUAAGCAUAUCAAUAAGCGGAGGA
rnacentral:rRNA from 1 species